CCUCUCAUCCUCUGCUCUCUCUCUCUCUCUAUGGCGAUUCCUAGCGACUUCAUCAGGCCUCUCUCUCGGAUCUCACCAGAUCUCUCACCAGAUCUGUGAGGAUUUCACCAGAUCGAUGAACUUUUUUCAGGUUUGAAUAGAUAGGGGUUUGAUCGAUUGGUAGAUCCUUUGUGAUAAUCUAUUUACCAAGCCCAAUAUUGGUCCGCAAAUUAAUGCAUCAACAGUUGGGAAAGCUCUGGUUGUGGAUAUCUGUUGGAGCACUCCUUGGGUUUUUGAUUAUCUUCAACAUAUUCUUUAUCGUAGCACUAACUUCCCUGAAUCCCCCGGUGUGAUGCUAAACCUGUGAUCAGAGAGGAAAAUAUAUAAAGAACUCAAAAAAUAACAGCUUACAGUAGGCUCAGCUGGUAUGGCCAAUCACAUAAGCUUUGGUGGACCUCCCGUGAAAACCGAGACAGCUGAAGGAGCAGGAGAAACAGGUAUUCAAUAACAGUUACUCACAAAAAGAUCACUUUGAGGUCUUCCCAGAAAGGGUUUUGGGUAAGUAUCCAUCGCCUGUUAUGGGUCUGUUAGUGUAUCAAAGAGAUUAGAUUUCCUUUUUAAUGUCUUUAAAGGUGCAAGUGGAGAAUUGAAGUUGGUUUGACUUGACUUGUGGAGACAGAUUAGGCCGGGCAAUUGCAUGGAUUAAAUGAUUUAAACUAUGUCACUUGUCUUUCGUGCCUCUUCUGUAAAUGUGAAUCAAGAACUACAAACAAGUUUGCAUCAUUUGUAUUUGUUUUCUAUGGAUUUGUUCUCUUUCAAAUUGGAAUUAACUAUGGAGGUAUUUUCUAUGAAUUUGUUCAUUGGAAUGGAGUUGUUGAACAGGAAGUUGCUUAGUGGGUUUACUGGCACGAGACCACUGAAAAUGAAACACAUGAGGUCAUUAGUGGCCAUUUGGGGUGGGUGAGAUCUGUUGCGUUUAGUCCAAAUAACGAGUGGUUCUGUACCGGUUCUGCAGAUCGAACGAUUAAGAUUUGGGAUACUGGAUCAGGACGGUUAAGGUUGACACUAACAGGGCAUAUAGAACAAGUUAGAGGCACGGAACCCUGCUACUUUUCUUCAUGCGUACACUUGUCUUCCCCUUGCUUACGCUACAAGGCAAGCUGCUGGUGCUAUUUUGCAAGAUGUUGCUGAUACGGGUGUCGUUUUUGUGACAUUGAUGUUCAAAGACAAGGUUGUUAGUCUGGUAGGCUUGCAGAAAUCAUCACUUCAUCCUGAUGAUAUGUUACUGCUGGCUAACUUCGUCAUGUCAUGUCAUGUCAUCUGAAUCUUUUAGAGAUUUGACGAUAGCAUCCAUCAUACAACAAAUAUAACCGAGUUCAAUAACGGUAUAUUUGAUAAGCUAAUGGAAGAAUCAAAAGAGCUAGAAAAUCAUGCUAAUCACGUUGACAAGAUACAUACAAAGAAUAUCAAUGACUUUCACAAGGCGUACGAGUCUGAUGAGAUACAACAGAAGGCACAUGAUACUUUGCAGCAGAAGUAUAUGGAUUAUGAACCAUCUGGUAAUACUUUCAUAAGAUGCGACCCUGCUGUUCCAAGUAAGGAUACCAUAGAGUCGCUUCGGGCAAUGCCGAUGGAAACUCUAUUGGAGGAAUUCAGGGAAAACCAUUCAUUUGAGUUAUUGGAAGUUAAGGACGGCAAGAUUACUCCUGCUUCUCAAUCACCUCUUUCAGAAAUAAACUAAACAUCAUAGUGUUGUGAUUUAUUUUGGUCUCUUUGUACUUGUUACUAUGUAUAUUGUGAAAAUUGAAGAGAGAGUAUGAUAGAUGGAUCAACUCAGAUAAUCCCUGCUUGGGAUUUAUUGUUCUGUUUUCACCAAUGUAGUAGAGGGGUUUCAUUUUUGAAUCACAUUUCAUUUUAUGAUUUUUCUUCA